CGGAGCGUCAGUUGUGACAGCAAAGAAACCAGGAGGAAAGCCAUACUUCAGGCACAGAGUGACCAAGACAGCUGCAGCCGGAGAGCCUCAGCGGGGCAGAGAGUGGGAGAAGCCAGCCCGUGGAGCGCGGACCACCCAGGCCGAGUGCUUUCAGUCCCGGGGCGGGCAUCGGGGUUUUCAAUAAAGAAAUCCUCAUGUGUUCCGGCUCCCCAAAUUCUUUCUUAGAAUACUGUCAAGUUGACAGUGAGCCUUUGGGCCCUGGACUUGGUUCAGACACGUGGGGUGCACACAGACAUUUAGUGAUUCCUAUUAGCCCUUGGAAAGUGAUCCUGGCUCCUGCUUCGGUCUCGUGAUUUCUAGCAGUCCUUCACGCUCCCGGGUGUCCACCCCGUGAAGGCGCGGAGCACGCUCUUUCUGCAGCUGCUCGUGGGAGUGCUCUGCCCCGGCUCCCUCCCUGUGCUGAUGAUGCUGGGGUUCUUGUUCGUGGAGUCGAAGAAUGAACUUCGCGAACACUCAAGGAUAGCAGCUUCCUGGGCUGGGAGCCUGUCACUCAAGACUGCCUGCUUUGCUCCCAAG